rnacentral:rRNA from 1 species
CCUACGGGCGGCAGCAGUGGGGAAUAUUGGACAAUGGGCGAAAGCCUGAUCCAGCCAUGCCGCGUGUGUGAAGAAGGCCUUCGGGUUGUAAAGCACUUUCAGUGGGGAAGAAAGCCUUGGGGCUAAUACCCUCGAGGAAGGACAUCACCCACAGAAGAAGCACCGGCUAACUCCGUGCCAGCAGCCGCGGUAAUACGGAGGGUGCGAGCGUUAAUCGGAAUUACUGGGCGUAAAGCGCGCGUAGGCGGUCUGAUAAGCCGGUUGUGAAAGCCCCGGGCUCAACCUGGGAACGGCAUCCGGAACUGUCAGGCUAGAGUGCAGGAGAGGAAGGUAGAAUUCCCGGUGUAGCGGUGAAAUGCGUAGAGAUCGGGAGGAAUACCAGUGGCGAAGGCGGCAUUCUGGACUGACACUGACGCUGAGGUGCGAAAGCGUGGGUAGCAAACAGGAUUAGAUACCCCAGUAGUC